UCACACACACGGAUCUAAACCCCUUACAUCAGUUGAAAAGUGGCUGGGUGGAGCUCACAGAACUUAGAUCUGACUUUUGCUCCGUGUUGGUUCAGUGUUACUUUCAGUUUUGCUGUUAGUCAUCUCAGACUUACAGGAAGAGAGAGGGCGGGGGGAUCACGGAUCCUAUUUCUUCAACUCCCCCGAGACCGUCCCAGGAAUGGCAGCUCUCAGGGGUGGAAGAUGCGACAUGGUCAGAGGCAGGAUGGGAACGAGCCCUGGCUGGUCGCUGCGGUUGGUGGCUCUGUGGACGCUCUAUGGAGUCGCUGGAGCACAGCCAUCCAUCACAGCUCAGUAUGGAGAGGACAUCACACUGGACUGCACCUUCCACCACAUACCGGGGGUAAAACUCCAGCGACUGAACAUCACCUGGAAGAUGCAAAGAGCCGAGGGAGCAGCUCUCCUGGUUCACAGCUACUGUGAGCAGAGGGACCUGUGGCAGGGACAGGACAAGGUUUACUGGGGCCGGACACAGCUGGACCCAGAGGGAAUCCACAAAGGGAAUGCGUCCCUGCGACUCAGGGCUGUGCACUUCCAGGACGAGGG
rnacentral:lncRNA from 1 species